rnacentral:misc_RNA from 1 species
GAUGAAGAACGUAGCGAAAUGCGAUAAGUAAUGUGAAUUGCAGAAUUCAGUGAAUCAUCGAAUCUUUGAACGCACAUUGCGCCCGCCAGUAUUCUGGCGGGCAUGCCUGUUCGAGCGUCAUUUCAACCAUCAAGCCCCCGGCUUGUGUUGGGGACCUGCGGCUGCCGCAGGCCCUGAAAACCAGUGGCGGGCUCGCUGUCACACCGAGCGUAGUAGAUUUUCAUCUCGCUCAGGGCGUGCCGCGGGUUCCGGCCGUAAAAAGCCUUAUUUACCCAAGGUUGACCUCGGAUCAGGUAGGAAGACCCGCUGAACUUAAGCAUAUCAAUAAGCGGAGGA